UACGUAGGGGGCGAGCGUUGUCCGGAGUUACUGGGCGUAAAGCGCACGCAGGCGGUCUGCUAAGUUUGGAGUGACAGUUGGUGGCUUAACUGCCAAAGUGCUUCGAAAACUGACAGACUUGAGGGCUUCAGAGGGACACGGAAUUCCGGGUGGAGUGGUGAAAUGCGUAGAGAUCCGGAGGAACACCAAAGGCGAAGGCCAGCCCCCUGGGCCAAUACGUGACGCUCAUGCACGAAAGCGUGGGGAGCAAACAGG
rnacentral:rRNA from 1 species